rnacentral:rRNA from 1 species
AGAAUCAACGCUGGCGGCGUGCCUAACACAUGCAAGUCGAACGAGAAAGUGGAGCAAUCCAUGAGUAAAGUGGCGCACGGGUGAGUAACACGUGACUAACCUACCCUUGAGUGGGGAAUAACCUAAGGGAAACCUGGGCUAAUACCGCAUAACACCUACGGGUCAAAGGAGCAAUUCGCUUAAGGAGGGGUCGCGGCAGAUUAGCUAGUUGGCGGGGUAAUGGCCCACCAAGGCAGUGAUCUGUA